GUAUGUCUAUAAAUCUAUAUAUGAAUUCCAAUAAUUCAAAAUACGUGAUACAAUAAUUAAAAAUACAUGAUAUAUAUAAAGUUAAAGUUAUUAAACGAAAGAGUUCCAGUCAGAUUAAACUUAAGAAACAUUGGCAGGUAACAAUAAAAUGACUGCCGUAAGUUAGGGGAAAUAUGGGAUCAUUCUGGGUUACCUGAAAAGCGUUGGUAUUUAGCGCCGAAGCUUUUCUAUACUAGAAUGAAAUUUCUUUCUAGGGGUUGACAAUACGCUGGUUUUGUUGUCGUCUGUCAGUUUUCUGCCGAAAUUUUUAUGGCAUCCUCGCGUUUGUUUACUUGGAAAGUGAUUUCCCUAUCAGUUCAGAAGAGUUCUUUUCCAUGCUAUAAGCAAGCUUCACUGUAUAAAUUGGUAUAUUACCAUAAAUAUGCAGCUGUACAACAAAACUUCAAUGUGGAGAAUCGGCCUGACAGUGGAUCUGAUACUGAAUAUGAAGAGGAAAAAAUUAAAGAUAUUUCUGAGUUAAAAGUUAAAAUAUUAGAAGCUGCAGUAAAUUUUGUUCCGGAAUAUGGAUGGAGUAAAAAGUCUUUGGCACAUGGUGCAAAAUCUCUUGGUCUAUCUACAGCUGCUCACGGUCUUAUCGAAAGUGGAGGGGCAGAUCUGGUCCAUUAUUUCAACUUUUCAAGCAACAGAAAGCUUGAACAGCAUCUUAAAGAAAAUGCUGCAGAAAACGAAAGCUGUAUUGCUAUUUCUUUUAGGACUGAUCUGAAAAAUUUUCUAGAAAAUGCUCUGGAAUUUAGGCUUAGAAUGGUUAUCCCAUUUGUAUCAAACUGGCCCGAGGCUAUGGCUCUUAUGUUAUUUCCUACUCAAAUUCCUGCUGAUACAAAGAAUUUGCUUGAUAUGGCAGAUCAAAUUUGGCAUUAUUCGGGAGAUAAAUCCUUAGACAUGUCUUGGUACAGCAAAAGACUUUCAGUUGCUGCUGCUUAUAAAGCUUGUGAGUUAAGUCUAAUCCAAGAUAAGUCAUCUGACUUUUCAGACACCUUUGAAUUUCUUGAGAGACGUGUAGAUACAGUAACAGAAGCACUUCAAUUGCUCGACAAAGUUAAUGAUAGUAGUAAAGAUCUUACAGAAUUUACAGCAGGAGCAUUAAUUACACUUUCUGUGAGAGUGCACUGAAGAUAGAAUUCGAUAGAAGAAAACUAAUUGAUUUUUCAUUAUGAUUGAAAACUGCACCCGUAUGUGACUUCUUCUUUGUGCAACACUGGGUUUUCACUGGUCUAUUACAAAGCAAGUAUUAUGAGAAAGUAAAUGUAGAACAGGAAAUGAGGCAAGAAAUCUUCUUGGGAUUAAUCGAUGGUUCAGAUAGUGUAAAUCUAUACAUUGUGGUCACAGAAUUUACUCUGAUUUGUAGCAUUGUAACUUAUUGAUCAUUAAAUUUAUUGAUGUUA